rnacentral:rRNA from 1 species
ACAUGCAAGUCGAGCGAACGGACGAGAAGCUUGCUUCUCUGAUGUUAGCGGCGGACGGGUGAGUAACACGUGGAUAACCUACCUAUAAGACUGGGAUAACUUCGGGAAACCGGAGCUAAUACCGGAUAAUAUUUUGAACCGCAUGGUUCAAAAGUGAAAGACGGUCUUGCUGUCACUUAUAGAUGGAUCCGCGCUGCAUUAGCUAGUUGGUAAGGUAACGGCUUACCAAGGCAACGAUGCAUAGCCGACCUGAGAGGGUGAUCGGCCACACUGGAACUGAGACACGGUCCAGACUCCUACGGGAGGCAGCAGUAGGGAAUCUUCCGCAAUGGGCGAAAGCCUGACGGAGCAACGCCGCGUGAGUGAUGAAGGUCUUCGGAUCGUAAAACUCUGUUAUUAGGGAAGAACAUAUGUGUAAGUAACUGUGCACAUCUUGACGGUACCUAAUCAGAAAGCCACGGCUAACUACGUGCCAGCAGCCGCGGUAAUACGUAGGUGGCAAGCGUUAUCCGGAAUUAUUGGGCGUAAAGCGCGCGUAGGCGGUUUUUUAAGUCUGAUGUGAAAGCCCACGGCUCAACCGUGGAGGGUCAUUGGAAACUGGAAAACUUGAGUGCAGAAGAGGAAAGUGGAAUUCCAUGUGUAGCGGUGAAAUGCGCAGAGAUAUGGAGGAACACCAGUGGCGAAGGCGACUUUCUGGUCUGUAACUGACGCUGAUGUGCGAAAGCGUGGGGAUCAAACAGGAUUAGAUACCCUGGUAGUCCACGCCGUAAACGAUGAGUGCUAAGUGUUAGGGGGUUUCCGCCCCUUAGUGCUGCAGCUAACGCAUUAAGCACUCCGCCUGGGGAGUACGACCGCAAGGUUGAAACUCAAAGGAAUUGACGGGGACCCGCACAAGCGGUGGAGCAUGUGGUUUAAUUCGAAGCAACGCGAAGAACCUUACCAAAUCUUGACAUCCUUUGACAACUCUAGAGAUAGAGCCUUCCCCUUCGGGGGACAAAGUGACAGGUGGUGCAUGGUUGUCGUCAGCUCGUGUCGUGAGAUGUUGGGUUAAGUCCCGCAACGAGCGCAACCCUUAAGCUUAGUUGCCAUCAUUAAGUUGGGCACUCUAAGUUGACUGCCGGUGACAAACCGGAGGAAGGUGGGGAUGACGUCAAAUCAUCAUGCCCCUUAUGAUUUGGGCUACACACGUGCUACAAUGGACAAUACAAAGGGCAGCGAAACCGCGAGGUCAAGCAAAUCCCAUAAAGUUGUUCUCAGUUCGGAUUGUAGUCUGCAACUCGACUACAUGAAGCUGGAAUCGCUAGUAAUCGUAGAUCAGCAUGCUACGGUGAAUACGUUCCCGGGUCUUGUACACACCGCCCGUCACACCACGAGAGUUUGUAACACCCGAAGCCGGUGGAGUAACCUUUUAGGAGCUAGCCGUCGAAGGUGGGACAAAUGAUUGGGGUGAAGUCGUAACAAGGUAGCCGUAUCGGAAGGUGCGGCU